CCAUCUCCUGUCAGUUAAGUUAUGAACGUAUAGAAUGUGUCAGGUUAGGUUGUUGUACUGCAAUUGUAGGUUUCCUUUCACUGUGGGCGUCAGGACACAGUAGUGCAUAGCAGAAUCUUCCUCUUUCGCAGAGGAGAUGUCCAGAUCAGAACGGUUAUUCUCAUCAUUCAGUUUGACUGACAGUCGAGGAUCCAGACCUGGAGCCCGUGAUGGAGACCCAACACCAUGCAGGAUAAGCAGAAUAUACCGAGGAGCUGAUCCAGGGUUCUGGAGAUACCAUUGAAGAGAGACUGCAGAUGUGGCACCAGAGUUGGCAGAAGGACCUGACCUGCCUACUGUGAUGUCAUAGUGGGAAACAUUGCUUGAAGGGCAUAUCUGUAAGAUAAUUAAUCUAUUCAACAUGAGGCAAUUCAUUCAUUCACAGGUCUUUUUGUUUUCAUCUUUAUAUCUAGAAUCUACAGUAUACAUCUGCAACAUAUUCAGAAUACCGAAUGAGUUUGUCACUUUUUCAUUUGUUACAACAUUUUAUUAUUGUUUAUUGAAAAUAUUUCACUGUACAUUUCCAGCCUACAUGUAUAUUCUUUGUCUACUGAAGGAAACCCAAAAAUGAAAAUGUUUAUCUUAGGGGAUGUCAGUGUUUUCAGUUUAGAAUUUUGUACAGUGUGUCUGGGUUUCCUGUCGCUGUGGGCCUCAGGGCACAGUAGUACAGACCAGAGUCUGUCACUUCAGCAGAGGAGAUCUCCAGAUCCAUGUUGGUUUGGCUCGAUAUUCUGCUCAUAGGUGUCGCCUGCAUUUUUUAAGAAAUUAAGAUUGUCAUUUUUUUUAUUGAAAUAAACAUGUAUUGUUGUAGUUUUCUAAACAGAAAACAUGACACUACUUUGAAAGCCAUAACUUACCUAUUACUGAGAACAUAAUAAAUGACCAGAUGAUA